rnacentral:rRNA from 1 species
UACGGGGGGGGCAAGCGUUGUUCGGAAUUACUGGGCGUAAAGGGCUCGUAGGCGGCCAACUAAGUCAGACGUGAAAUCCCUCGGCUUAACCGGGGAACGGCGUCCGAUACUGGAUGGCUUGAGUUUGGGAGAGGGAUGCGGAAUUCCAGGUGUAGCGGUGAAAUGCGUAGAUAUCUGGAGGAACACCGGUGGCGAAGGCGGCAUCCUGGACCAAAACUGACGCUGAAUAGCGAAAGCCAGGGGAGCAAACGGG